UCUUGGGAUAGUGGUUGUGUUGUUGUGACUUAUUAUUGAUCGGUACGUUGUUGGGCUUAAUUCCAUAAGCUGGUUCGUGGAACUGUUGUUUCGGUCGUGUCACGUGUAUAAGACGUCAGUAUAGGUUGAACGUGUUGGAUUGAUAUAGAUGACGUAUCUUUUGUACAGGUGACGGUUAGAUACAUCGGUCGAGUCGAGGACUCGGAUACUUGGUG
rnacentral:lncRNA from 1 species